rnacentral:rRNA from 1 species
CCUACGGUCUGCAGCAGUGAGGAAUAUUGGUCAAUGGGCGCGAGCCUGAACCAGCCAAGUCGCGUGAGGGAUGAAGGUUCUAUGGAUCGUAAACCUCUUUUAUAAGGGAAUAAAGUGUGGGACGUGUCCUCUUUUGUAUGUACUUUAUGAAUAAGGAUCGGCUAACUCCGUGCCAGCAGCCGCGGUAAUACGGAGGAUCCGAGCGUUAUCCGGAUUUAUUGGGUUUAAAGGGUGCGUAGGCGGCCUUUUAAGUCAGCGGUGAAAUUCUGUGGCUCAACCAUAGAAUUGCCGUUGAAACUGGGGGGCUUGAGUAUGUUUGAGGCAGGCGGAAUGCGUGGUGUAGCGGUGAAAGGCUUAGAUAUCACGCAGAACCCCGAUUGCGAAGGCAGCCUGCCAAGUCAUGACUGACGCUGAUGCACGAAAGCGUGGGGAUCAAACAGGAUUAGAUACCCUUGUAGUC